UCCUAGCCCGGAUAGAAGCGGUUACCCCGGAACAUGAGUUGGAGAGAAGAGGGUUUAGUGAUGGAAAAGCAAUGGAGUGAGGAGUAAAAGCGAAUAGCCGGAAAUAGC
rnacentral:misc_RNA from 1 species